rnacentral:rRNA from 1 species
GACGAACGCUGGCGGCGUGCUUAACACAUGCAAGUCGAACGAAGUGGCGAACGGGUGAGUAAUACGUGGGAAACCUACCCUUCAGCGGGGGAUAACCAUCGGAAACGAUGACUAAUACCGCAUACUGAAGGAUGGUCCCGCGGUGCAUUAGCUAGACGGUGGGGUAACGGCCUACCGUGGCUUUGAUGCAUAGCCGACCUGAGAGGGUGAUCGGCCACAUUGGGACUGGGAUACGGCCCAGACUCCUACGGGAGGCAGCAGUGGGGGAUAUUGCACAAUGGGCGAAAGCCUGAUGCAGCGACGCCGCGUGGGGGAUGAAGGCUUUCGGGUUGUAAACCUCUUUCGCUAUCGAACGGGUAGGUGGAGAAGAAGCGCCGGCUAACUACGUGCCAGCAGCCGCGGUAAUAC